rnacentral:misc_RNA from 1 species
GGAAGGAUCAUUAACACGAGAUGCACGACACAAUAUCAUUCUGCUGUGCGAGGGAGUGGCUUCGGCCCUUCCUCGUAUCUUGAUACUAUACUCUCACUAUAUAUGUACAAGCUCAUAAAACAAACUAAGAAAAUUUUCAACGACGGAUAUCUUGGUUCCCACAACGAUGAAGAACGCAGCGAAAUGCGAAAAGCAAUGCGAAUUGCAGAAUUCCGCGAGUCAUCAGAUCUUCGAACGCACCUUGCGCCGACCGGAUCUCCGAUUGGCAUGCUUGUUUCAGUGUCUUGUUACGACUCACAAAUCAUAAUGUGAUUGACUGGGACUGAGUGAGCAAUCACUCUGCUUCCUGUCUCUCAUGAAGUGAGCGCUGGACCGACGAACCCGAUGCAGUAGUCACUCUCGCAGUGAUACUCAUUGGAACUCGGCGGAUUACUCCUGCGAACAAAAAUCAUAACAUCACAACGCAUCUGAGGCAAGCAAGAUCACCCGCUGAACUUAAGCAUAUCAGUAAGCGGAGGAAAAGAAAUUAACAAAGAUUGCCCCAGUAGCGGCGAGCGAAGAGGCAAAAGCUCAAGUAUAUAAUCUGAGGCGUUCCGCCUCCGAAUUGUAAUCUGAAGUGCAGGCCAGAAGGUGUGGGCGACGCAUAAGUGCCUGGAAAGGCACGUCGUAGAGGGUGACAACCCCGUGCAUGGCGUCGACCGCGCUGUAUGGAAUGCUACAAUGAGUCGGGUUGCUUGGGACUGCAGCCCAAAAUGGGAGGUAAACUUCUCCUAAGGCUAAAUAUUGGUGGGAAACCGAUAGCGAACAAGUACUGUGAAGGAAAGAUGAAAAGAACUUUGAAAAGAGAGUUAAAAGACUUGAAAUCGUUGAAAAGGAAGCGGUAGAAAAGUAUGAAUUGGUCAGGACUUUAGGACCGACAGGGGGUGCACUCGGAGUUUGCUGUACUUCAUAGGCACCUGUUUCGAAGUGUAAAUCCCCUGUGGCUGCGCUCCUGGCCAAAAGGUAACAUGAGGUCUAGCGAUCGGCAGAAUGCGGAUGGGAAGCCCCAGCAAUGGAAGCCCAGACGAGAUACCGACCGACAGGCCUGAGGGACGAAAGUGAUGUUGCCGAAAUGGUUUCUACCGACCCGUCUUGAAACACGGACCAAGGAGUCUAACACGUACGCGAGUGUGCGAGUGAACCAAACUCAUACGCGAAAUGAAAGUGAAAUCAAGGUGUGAACCGCAAGGCGCAACACCGACCGACCGAAGCUACGGCGACGGCUUGAGUAAGAGCGUACUUGUUAGGACCCGAAAGAUGGUGAACUUUACUUGAGUAGGGUGAAGUCAGGGGAAACUCUGAUGGAAGCUCGUAGCGAUAUUGACGUGCAAAUCAUUCGUCAAACUUGAGUAAAGGGGCGAAAGACUAAUCGAACCAUCUAGUAGCUGGUUCCCUC